UACGGGGGGAGCUAGCGUUGUUCGGAAUUACUGGGCGUAAAGCGCACGUAGGCGGCUUUGCAAGUUAGAGGUGAAAGCCUGGGGCUCAACUCCAGAACUGCCUUUAAAACUGCAUCGCUUGAAUCCAGGAGAGGUGAGUGGAAUUCCGAGUGUAGAGGUGAAAUUCGUAGAUAUUCGGAAGAACACCAGUGGCGAAGGCGGCUCACUGGACUGGUAUUGACGCUGAGACGCGAAAGCGUGGGGAGCGAACAGG
rnacentral:rRNA from 1 species